AGAAAAAGCCCACCUACUCUGCUGUUUCCAUCGCCGGCUCCACCCCCUGCAUCCACCCGCCGUCGGCGCCGCUCCUUGCUCCCACGCACCGCUGGCCCCUGCCUCCUUGCUUCCACGCGCCGCCGGCUCCGCCCCCUGUUUCCACCCGCCGCCGGCAGCCGGCCCCUGCUCCCACGCGCCGUCGGCCCCUGCCUCCCUGCUUCCACGCGCCGUCGGCCCCUGCCUCCCUGCUUCCACGCGCCGUCGGCUGCGCCCCCUGCUUCCACCCGCCGCCGCCGCCGCCCCUCUGCUUCCACUGCGCCACCGGCCUGCCUCCCCAUUGCUUCCACCGGAGCGCCGCCCCCUGCUUCCACCGCGUCGCUGGCCCACCUCUCUGCUGCUUCCACCGCGUCGCCGCCCCGCACACUGGUUGCCAGUAGCGUGGCCGCCCCUUGCCCAACCUCCUAGCCGUCGGUGCCAUGGCCGCGCCACCGCUUCGCAAGCCUCCGUUCAACGACAUAACACCAAGCCGUUCGAUGUCGCGGCUCGGGAGAAUUCUCAAGCCACAGAAGGUCCCAGGACAUUCACUGUCGGCACCAUAGUCCGUUCACCGACGCAAAGAUGAGGUCUAGCCAUCAUCACCCACGACCGUGCACUCGCAUCUCUCCAGCUUCAAGUACUGUCCUCCUCUAGCUGCAGGUCGCGUUCUCCUCCAGCCGCAGACCAAUGCUAUGAUGAACAUUCAAGGCAGCAAGCACACCACAGGUCGCAGCGCCGCCGUUGAUCACAUGUGCACAUCCGUGCGAUUGAUGUGUGUGUGCUUUAGUCCAACUGCUGUAUCCGGCUGGGCUGCUCAUGUGACGAGCUCCUCUUCCAGGUCCGGCAGCCCCCUGUACUUCCUCAAUCUUUCAAAGUUUGAUCCUUUUUUUGCAGCAUGCUGAAAAACAGGAUCCAACAUUUAUGAAAAAGAGAUGAAUUUAGAGGAAGAUGCAGCACUGGAACGCAGAAGACUCAGUUCACAAAAAAAAUGAAAAAAUGGCAGGAACAGGCAGCAGUUUUCAAAAAUGAAGAUGGAGAUGUGAGCAUGUAUACAUAUGUUCUGGAGACACUAGACUUAUCUGGUGGUGUGUGCGUGCUGCUGUAUCCUCUUCCGGCCACUCUAAUCUACACCCUCAGUACAAGCCGAUGCAUCGCCAAGGUACACUGGAAUGAAUAUGUGUUUCUUCUGUGGUGAUGAUUUUGGGAGUAAAAUGGGAAAUUUAACAAAAGAAAUAUAAGAGCGCUUAGAUCACUAAAGUAGUGAUCUAAAAUGCUCUUAUAUUUGUUUACAGAGGGAGUACUCAAGUCCAUCUUGCAAACGAGUAGCAUUUCAAUAGUGCAAACAUGCAUCAAAUUAAAAAAAACGAUCCUGACUUGAAGCAAAUUCAUAUCUAAGUGUUUAUUUCAUAGCUCAUCGAUACUCAUAUAAGCCCGUGCAUAUCUGGGUGUUUAUUACUUCCAACUCUGAAGCUUGACAUGCAUAUUUGGGGAUGGUUUCAAGUACUAGUUUGGAACUAUAUCUAACCGAUACUAUAAAAUUUUUUAGCAGUUCGACAGGGGUGCGGGGUUCAGUUCGACGAUGACAAGCUAGGCAGCCGGCCUUUGCAUCGUGAACUGGCACAGUUUGAUCUUGUAAGAAAUGGAAAUUCCCUGAUGUUGAGUGUGUCAGUACAUUUGCUUGGCUGCUUUGCUACUCUAGUUAGUAACAUAUCGCUUGCUAAAUCAAAAAUAUUUUGUUGUUCACUUUCCUGUGUUUUGUUGGAUAAUUCUCAGGCUUUCUUUCUCUGAGAGGUACAAAAAUCAUAGUGCUUAAUAUACUGAUGUGUGUGUUAUACUUGAAUUAAAUAAAGUUAGAGGAGAAAGUGCCCCUAUUCCAUUACUUUGAGAAGUACAAGUACACCUUUCUGAUAGUACAGUGCAGGCCUGGUGCUGGCCCUGCACAAAUGGCGUCUUUAGCUCACCACGCUACCUCCCUCCCGCCGGUGGCUCUUCGUCCCUAUUCAAAUUUUUCCAGUGCGUCUUUAUAUUUUGUUCAGAUCAACUACUUGCUGGUCAUAAGUCCAAUUUCAUCUGUGUUUCCAUGUUCUUCCUAUAGCAUAAGUUGAUUGGCAUUACUGUGACACUGAUCAAGCCAACUGCGUGUAUUUAGUGAUUAAGGUCAUUUGGAAAAAACUUUUACACUUGUUGUGAUGCCUUACAAUUAAGACAUUUUUUAUAUAAACAUUGUUGCAACAUGAAUGUCAAGGAAAAGCAUGUGAAAAUGCCCUCUAUAGGAGAAAGGCUUCUGCAAAAAAUACUGUUGCAACAUUUUAGGCAUGCGAUUACAAUUUUUUUGGCAAUUUAUUCUAAUUGGUGCGUUCAGAUUAGUAAUAUAUAGAGAAAUUGUUUUGGUAGUACCACCAAUCCACCGUUUGUCUAAUUAAACAGAAAUACACAACGGAAAGCAAAAUGUUUUAACUAGUUCAACCCUGUAGGUAAUUACAUUGUAUAGAGGUUGCACCAAUUACACUCUAUAGAGGCUACAUCAGUUCAGUAUGAAAAAGGAACACAAUAAGUUAACUUUGCAAGUACAUCAGUUCACCUUGAUUAAAAUACAGAAGUGCACCGGCAAGAUUUCGAUCAGUUCGCUUAUAAAAAAAUAGAAAGUUGGUAGUGUAAAGAAACCGGAGAACCAAUGUCAGCCUAGGUAACUCCACACAAGUGCACCCGUUAGAAACAAAAGGUUCUGCAUGUCACUGUCAUACCCUGCAUAAUGGAAAUGGAUGCAGAAUAGGAGUGAAACAGGGAAGGGGAAUUGUUGCAGGGGCAAGUGUUGUGGGCAUUAGCUGCUAUGGUGCAUCUUAUCCAGUUAUUGCUUGGUCUACAUGCGGCCAUUGCGAGGUUCAGCUUGGUUGACAAAAGUAAAACCAAAUUUGGGUGUGUGUGUGUGAGUGUGUGUGUGUGUGUGCAAGUGCAACCGUGACUUGCAUAUGGUGUACAAACAAAGUUAUUUUGGUUUUCAGACCCAGAAAAAGUUCAAAAAGAGUAUAUAGCCUGGGAAGUGGGAAGUACAAGAGGCAAAAGUUACCGAGUUCAACAAAAACAAAAAAUUUUCAGAAGUACAAGGGAAAAGAUGGAGAGGUUGGACUACUCACGACUGUUGUUGUGGAGCCGUGGCGCGUCGACGAGCUCCUGCAGAGCCACGAGCUGCGGAACCGAUGAGCCGGCUGCCUGUCAUAGUUCCACAAAGGUUAAAAAUAGUUGCUAAUUAAUUCCACAAAGGAUUUUGUAUGAUCCAUAGCCAUCAGGCGAGCAGUUUAAGGCCUACUGCGUGAACCGUCCAUCGUCUUAUAUGCAUGAGCUUGUUGUCUCGAUGCAUCUAGCAUCGGAGUAUCUCCUCCCCCUUGCCGCACACACAUGUUGGGCAGUCGAGCUAGUGUUGUUUGUGAUUGCUGUCAUUGGACAAAGGAUUUGUUCUGUAACUCUGUACUGACGGGACCUUCAACAUAUAUGGGGUUUAGAAUUUGUUUGUAACUCUGUACUAUUGGGACCUUCAGCAUAUAUGGUGUUUUCAGUAUUCUGAUCUGUAGGCCAAAAAUGGUGAACAUUUAAA